CUGGAUUCAGUCCCAGGCUUGUCUGGCCCCCCUGACUUCUUCCCACCCCUAAGGCUCCCCGGGAGCACUUCCUCAGUCACUCAGGGAUGUAGCCCAAAGGACAACUGGGGGUUCAUACUGGAACUGCCCUGCUCUCAGAGCUGCCGGCUGGAGACGUGGAGACCCACCCUGGGAUCCCCCUCUACCAAACAAGGGUGACGCGGUCACAGAUUCUGCAGGCCCACCAGGCAACCAGGCCCUGCAGCACAGAGGUGGAGGAGCUGGGGCAGGAGAGCAAACACCUGGCUCAGGCUUCCAGAAGCGGCCCUUGCAGAGUCUGCUUUGCACCUGACGACUGGGAAGGUGGGGCACCCUCCCUGCACCUGCUUCACAUGGUCCCUCAGACAGCUGAUUCUCCUGAACUCAUCCAUCAGAAAAGGAAGUCCUCCUCCAGUGGGGAAGAGCCAGUGAGGGGGUGGAGAGAACAGAUUCCCCUUUCGAUGAGACAACAUGGGGGUGUGGGGUGUGGGUGCAGGGGUCACUGGAGGAGGUAGCAAAUGAUCAGGGAGAGACCAGGUCAGUCUCUGGAAGGCUGGGGCCUUGGGGAAUGCACGGGUGAGGUGGAGAGCGAACUUGGACCCAGACCCUUGGGUUCAAAUCCUACCUACUGCCACUUCUGAGCUGUGUAACCUUAUGUGCAAUAUUUAAUCUCUCUGCAUCACGGGUUUCUCAGCAGUGAAAUGGAGAUGAUGAGGGCGCCUAUCUCAGGAAGCUGCUUAGUGGAUUAAAUAAGAUCAUCCUUGAGAGCACUUAGCCCGAUGCCUGGCACGUGGCAAGCGCUCAAUAAAUGUAUGUUUCCUUCCACAUAUGAGAUGGCGGAAGAAGUGAGAUUUUGAGAUCUGAAUCAGGCUGGGGGUUGGGGUGGGUAUAGCUCAGUAGUAGAGUGCAUGCUCGGCAUAUAUGAGGUCCUGGGUUCAAUCCCCAAUGCCUCCAUUAAGAAAAACAAACAAAAACAAAAACCUGUCCUGAGUCAGGGGUUGAAUCAGCUGUACCGAGGGUUACCAGGGAGCUGCGUGGACCAUGAGCCAUGGAUGCAAACGAAGAAUACUCCCCACCCCACCCAAGCCUGCCCAGCUCCCGGAGCCUUCCUCUACCCUGCCCCUUGAGCUAAGAAGGGGCCAUGGAGGCCCAGAAAGCGAGCCAUCAGUGGCAGAGUUGGCGGCUGUCAAUCUCGAGUGCUUGCUUCUUCCAGAAAGACACUGUCGGUGACUGUCAGAAGUCGGCUGCCAGCUCCUCCUCCGCCUUGCUCCCCCCAGGUUCUAACAAGUGGGCUGGGGGCCGGGCAAGCGGUCCAGCCAGUGCCGCGGGUUGGAUGGGAGACAGCAAGGAGAAGGGGUGGGUGUGAUGCCCCGAGGAAGAGAUGCUCCGUCUGAACAGCACAGCUGCUCCUCAGCUCUGGCACGCUCGACACGUGGGCAGGGAGCCCCACGCUGCUCUAGCUCCCGGUUCUUUAAAAGAAGCCAGACAUCCUGAUAUUUAUGUGAAAUCUCCUGAACGGUAAUCGUUGGCCACAGAUUCAAAUACUUCAAGAGACGAGUCUACAAGCCAACUGAAAUCUCUCUCUGGGUUGACUGCGCCCCUGGGGGCUGCUGGUUUGCAAACUCAGCGGCAAGGGCCAAAGAGAACAUCGAGAUGUCAGUUUUAGCAGCAGAUGCCCAGAAAAUUUUCCAAGUCCUGGAUAGGCCUCCCCAGUAAAGGCUGGGGCGGCCGAGUCAGGAAAGGAGCUCAUGUGAGAUUUGAAGGCAGGAGUGCAGCAGAGUCAUUAUUCUGGACUGGGGUGAUCAGCCACGUGACUUCGCAGUCCUCUCUAUGAGGAUGCCAAGGGAGCUGGUGUAUUUUCUCACUGAACGGACAUUUCUCCGGAAGGUCUCAUGUGGUGCGUUUCUUUCCCUUUGGCACACUUACCACACUCCCACGGCAGCCACUGCAGCUCCUUCUUUCUUACAUAGUUUGUUCUUUGACUCUACUGCCUUGUCUGAGGGUGGCAAGUGAAAUGGAGAAGAUGGACAUUCCCUCCCAGACUAUCCAUCCCCCUGAAUUUUGCUCUAAAAGACGGUGGUGUUAACUUAUCAUCUCAGAGAACCUCUACUGAGAGUAGUUUUUUGACUAAGACCUUUGCAUUCAACCCAAGUGUUGAGUCAAAGUUUGAAGACCUCCCUGGGAAAGUCUCUACUCUUCUCAAUCCUGUCUUUCUUUAUUCACUGGAAAACAGCCAACAGGGUCAAUUAAAAUGAAUUUCACAGGUCCUUGAAUUGCCUGCUUUCUAAGUUCUUCCAUGUUUAAUUUUUUGGAGGUUGGUGCCAUUUCAAGGGUUCCAAUAUUCCAGGCUAGACAUUAACACAGCUUUUUUUUUUCCCUACAAUGUCCCUAGCUUUGGCUCCAUGAACACAAUGUGGGCAUGAUCCUCUAGGUCAGGGGUUGGCAAAUGAUUAAACCACCAGCCAGAUCCAGCCCAUUGCCUACUUUUACAAAUAGUUAUUGGAACACAGCCACGCCCACUCAUUUUUGUGCUGUCUAUGGCUGCUCUGGAAGUUGCGACAGAAGCCAUAUGGCUGCAAAGCCAGUAACACUUACUAUCUGACCGUUUACACAAAGUUUACUGAUCUCGGCUCUAGAUUAGUGUUUCUGGAUCGUUUCCUCAUCCUAGCACCCAUAAAAAAUAGUAUGCUGAGAGGUGAAGGAGUUAGUAUCUUGACAGGCCAUUGGGGCAUAUUGUUUGGGAGAGUCUAUGCUGGACCACUUGGGGCAGGACAUGACCUGGCAUAUACUUGGGACACCACUCUCUGAUAGCUGAGUCUUCUUUUGACACAUCUAGGCACCAAUACAUGAUCUACAUCUUGGUUCUGUAGGUCUUGCAUUUAGAUUCCCACAUAGAUUUCAAUUUUGAUCAAGACCAAGGUUACUUUUGUUCCUGGGUGGUGGUAACCUUCUGGGGAUCCUGAUUUCCUGGGCAGCUGUCCCUGUAGCAUAAAACGAGACUUAUAAGAGGACAAAGAUAUCCCCAUCACUGGUAGGGCCAGUUAGAGCCAUUGUGGUUCCAAACGAAUUAGCAGCACACCUGUGCCAGAGUUAGAGCGUGCCCCUGAACACGUGGCUGGAAUCUGUUUCAGUUAUCACAGCCGCUUGCCCCUUUCCCUCAAACAGUGCCGUAGUGAAGUGCCCAUGGGCAGAGUGGGCCUGGUUAAAGUCCACCUUCUGAACUGACACCCCAGGGCCUUUGACACUACCUGGUGUCCAUGGCUUUACCUCCACACUCCAACCACCCCAGCUGUGGAAUCCUUAAACGCCCAUCACAUUUUGAGGUCCCAUCCAUAUUGUUCCUUUUCCUCAUUUUAUUAGGGCAUAAAUCCAUUGCAGAAACCAUGACAAACGUGGCUGUCCGCUCUUUAUAUCACCAUAGAGAAGUGGGUUAAGAACCACAACAGAAAGAAUGAAACUGCAAGUU